GGAGACGAGAAAGUGUGAGUCGCUCUUUGCGUCUUCGACGUUUGAUCUCUGCCUCUAGACGUGUUUUAUUUUUCCAUCAGGUGUGUUCCCUCGACGAUGUCAUACCGCCACUUUGCUACGGCAAAUAACAUACUCAAAAGGAAAUAGCAACACGUGAUCAUGAAACUCUUCUUCACGCGAUUUUAAAACUAAAAUACAAAAUGAUGAAAUCAAUCUUUAGUAAAAUCAAAUUUAUGCAUCGGUCUGAUUCAAACUAAGUAGUAAAAGUAAAUAGUACAAUUAGAAAACAUACAAUGUUGGAACCACCAGAAACUUAGCCAAAUAGCUCGGAAUCCUUAUGAAGAUUUAAAAUCCUCGGAAUAUUCUGAUAAAUACUUUGACAAUAAGCGGCACUCCGUCGGUCACCAAUCCACGAAGCAACCUGCUUGUUAAAUUAACGUGCAAGUGGCUGAUCACUCUAAAAACACGUGUACGCUUAACGUAGUUCUCAGGGAGAUUCAGCGUGAUACAGUUAGUACAUGAAAAAACUGGCCCUUUGAGUUAUAGGUACAACUGAUUUUUGCCAGCCGAGUGGACUGGAGUGACAUGAAUAAAAUGUCUUGCUCAAGGACACAACGCGCCGCCAGGAAUCGAACUCACGACCAUGAGCCUAAUACCGUAACCGCUAAGUCACGCGCCUUCACACUUUGACAAUAAUAAUCAAAUUUGUUAUCUUUUUAUGCGCUGUGAACUGCACGACUAUACUCAGCUGCACUUUAACAGAUAAUUUUGGUUGUUAAAGCAAAUUUUUAUAAACAUUAGGCUACAUGGAUGGCAAAGAUAUUUAGAAAGCUUAUUUUAAAAUCAUUGGCGUACAUAAUAAAGUGUGUGUGUGUAGUAAUUUCAUUUAAGUCUAGACGUAAAACUUACGGUUCUUUACAAACUUAAGUUCCGAUUUGGUUUGAGUAAUUAUUCUUACGUUUAUGAAUGAUUUCCUAUUAAAUUUUGUAACGUUUCUUCAUCAUUAUGACGUAACAAUCUAAACAAUUCGAGUUGCUAUAGAAACAGCAUUUACAAACAAAAUCUGUUGAAAGGAAAUACUUGACAUUAUUCAGGGAACUUUUGUUUCCAAAGCGGUGAGCUGGCGGAAUAGUUAGCACUCCCGACAAAUUACUGCUAAGAAUUUUGUCCAUCUUUACGUUCUGAGUUCAAAUUCUGUCGAAAUCGACUUUGUCUUUCAUCCUUUUGCGAUCGAUGAGCACUGGUGUCUAUGUAAUCAACUGAACCUCUCCCUUAAAAUUGCUGGCCUUGUACUAAAAUUUGAAACGCGCAAGGAGUUUUCUUUUGUUAAUCUUCAGAAACAAAAUGUUUGAAACGCAGUAUGUAUUUCCAGAAAAUGACUAAUGAGGAAUCAGUGUUAGUACUAUCACAUAACGUCCUUAUUAAAUCAUUAAAAUAUUACCAACUCUACAUGAAUAAACGAUCAUGAAUAAAUGAACAUUUAUGAAUUACAGAAAUGAUUUAGCCACGAAAGUAAGUUUUUGGACUGCGGCUAUACUGGGGCACCGCCUUGAAAAGUUUACUCGAACAAACCUCUUGGUGCUUAUACCAUCAACCUGUUAAACCGAACCGUUAAGUUAUGGGGACGCAAACAAACCAACACCAGUUGUCAAGUGGUGUUGGGAAACAAACACAACACAAACAUACAAACACACGCACAUAUGUGUGUGUGCGUGUGAGAUCUACCAAGACUAGUGGAAAGAAAAAUACGCGAAGUUAUCCUUCCUCCAAUAACCCGACCCAAAGUGCUUGCAACAGAGUAAACUCUACUAAAGACACAAAGAUCGGGUGUUUGAGUUCACCCAGGUAGCAGAUUAAGUCAACCGUCUCAGAAUUCAGAGCACGAAGAGCCAGAAUGAAUACCACAAGGCAUCUCUCUGAUGCUCUACAAUUUCUUUUCUACUAUGGGCACAAGACCCAAAAUUUGGCGGGGAGAGGGCCAGUCUAUGAAAGAGUACUAUUCUAUGAAAGAAUACUUUCGUUACAACUCUGUAGUCUUGUCA